AUCAUCAUCAUCACCAUCACCAUCAUCACCAUCACCACCAUCAUCAUCAUCAUCAUCACCAUCACCACCAUCACCAUCACCUUCCUUUCCUGAGAGAGAUCCAGGGCACAGAGCGUUUUGGAAUCUUGCCAAUGACCAGCAGCCAUCUCUCAGCAUCCUUGGAGGAUCAGUUCCAGUUCACUCUGAGAUACCCAGUCCCCGGGUCCUGGGGAUCCUUGCGUGAAACGGCGCACUGCGGCACACUGUGGCACACUGUGGCACACUGCGGCACACUGCGGCACACUGCGGAGCACUGCGGCACACUGCGGAGCACUGCGGAGCACUGCGGCACACUGCGGCGCACUGCGGCACACUGCGGCACACUGCGGAGCACUGCGGCACACUGCGGCACACUGCGGAGCACUGCGGCACACUGCGGAGCACUGCGGCACACUGCGGCACACUGCGGAGCACUGCGGCACACUGCGGAGCACUGCGGCACACUGAGGCACACUGCGGAGCACUGCGGCACUGCGGCACACUGCGGAGCACUGCGGAGCACUGCGGCACACUGCGGCGCACUGCGGCGCACUGAGGCGCACUGCGGCACACUGGCGCACUGCGGCACACUGCGGCGCACUGCGGAGCACUGCGGCACACUGCUUGCCUGUGACCUAUGCCCAUCUCCAGAUUAGUGCCCUCUGGUUCGAAUGCUGAGCAAAUGGCCACCGUACCACAUUGUCGAGGGGAUAAAGACAAGGUGGGGAAAACCUGUCCAAGUUUAGCCCUCACACGUUUUCCUCCAAGCAUUUUUGAGCCACUGCUGAUUGAGUCUUAGGUCUCCGAGGCCACAGACAGUCGCGG
rnacentral:lncRNA from 1 species